CAAAUUCUGCAAGUUUUCUUGUAAAUUUGGCCAAGUACUGCAGAAUUCCUGGAAGACUGCAGAAUACACAUACUCAGAACCAAGAAUGAAGAGACGUUGCGAGCCAUCCCCACUAUGCAGGGCACCAACGGGCUGCCGCAGCCCACUCACAACCUCCUGAAUACAGAAGCAGUUGUGUUUGUGCUUUCUAAACAAAUUAAAGAAAACCGUGUAAAAGAAUUCUUUGCAAUAGUCUUUGCAGAGCAGAGGAAGUACUAGGUCUCUUUCCAAGACUUCUCUCUCAGCCGGAAACCACAGCCACCUUAAUUUACAGUUUCACCGCAGCCAAUGCCCCAUUCGAUCCAAAACACACUGUUCAUCGCGAUUCUUUUAAAAUAUUUACCCAGCCCAGGGUGCGGGUACCGCAGAAACGUCUGUUUUCAGAGAUAGGCAAGUUUGCACAGCAUCCCGACCGCGGACUCUGGGGGAGGAAAUGCUACUUGCUUACCCCAGAGGAACACACAACGGAAUCACGUUAGCGCUAUAGAAAAGUUAUGGAAAGAACUCCCCCAAAGAAGUUUUGACCUUCUUACAACCACCGGCUUUGCCAGAGCCACAGGGAACCCCACCCAGCCAAUAUGCCAAGUACGCAUCCGUGAAGCCGAGGCGCUUCGGGGGGUUCCCAUUCAGGCACCUUCUCCUCCUUGCUCCGCUCCCUUCGUUUCUUUCCCCAAACUUAGCAUCUCCUUCAAAGAAGCCCAGAGCCACGGCCAGCAGCAGCAGCUUAAAGGAGAGCAUCUUCAGCAUCGUCUGCCCAGAGCAGCAGGGGCUGGGCGCGGGAGGAUGGGGGGGAACGCCACUGCCCAGCAGGGGCACUAGGGCGCAGCUCCAGGAGGAGUUUGCGGGGCUGUAGGGCACUCCAGAGACAGAGGGAGGUGGCGGGGACAAAAAUAUGUACAGCGAUGCAACUUUGCAAAAAAUAAAAGACGCGGCGAUGGGUCCAAUGCCUUAGGGGAGCCCGAGGAGCGAGAUAAAGUUGUGCGGAUGACACCGUUUGCAGUUGUGCCAGUGUCAGUUGGGUUGGGGGCUUUCUGCUGCGGCUACAGCCACAGAUGUUCACUUGUCCGUGUAACGGGAGUUGUUUAGGUGGGACAGUAGCAGGAACAGAAACGGCGACGGCGGCGGCGGGGCAGGCGGAGGCAGGGCCAGCGCUGGGCUCUAGAUGAUGCUGAGGUCUCCUCUGCCGGCGGCUGCAGCUUCUCACACAGCCUCUCAUGUUUCGUUCCCUCUUUUCUUCUUCUUUUUAACUAGCGCGCGGGGAGGUGCUGCCACAGCGCGCCCCUUGACGUCACCGCUUCUGCGGCGGGGAGGGGCGGCUAGCCGCGACGGCGGCGGACGGAGGGGGAGGGCCGCGAGCCUUCGGAACCAGCCUCGAGGGUGCUGAACCCCGCGCGCCCGCCUCGCCGCGGCCCCCGGGUGGGGGCGUCCACGGCCCGGGUUCCCGGCGGGCUUGGGGCAGGGACGCAGUCCGGAGAUUCCGGGACUGCCCGGCUGCUGCAGCCCGCAGGCUCCUCUCUCCUCCCCGCUUCCCCUCCGCACUGCCUGGGCUAAAGGCGGCCAAGCUGAGGCUCCGAAAGAAGAGGCAGGGGGACAUCCCAGAUGCCGUUGAGUAGGCUGAGAUGGUUUGGAGACUCAUCCUCGCCGGAGGUCCUGCAAGCCACUGAAGUGGCACAGACGCGUGUGCGCGGAGUGGGGCGGUGUGUCGGGCCACAGGCCAAGCCCAAGUCGGCCUCCCAGAGUGUUUGCCACGGUUUGGGCGGAGGGAAAAUUGCAACCCUUGCCUACAACCAGACUGACAGCAUAAUUUCUUAGGAAUCAAGAAUCAAUACAGGGUUAUUUCUUUAGAUUAAACCUUAAAAGCCCCCUUGGAGGCUGAAGAAGCAGAGGAUAGCCAUGCAUACACUUGAACGUGAAAAAUGGUCCUCUUUCAUUGGAGAGGUCUUCCUCUUCAGCUAAACCGACAGAGUGGUGAAAAGAAGAAGGGACCCCUUGUUGACCAAAAUAAUCCAGACAAAUCAAAUCGGCCCUUUCCAGCAAGGAGUGGAACAGCCCAAGGGUGGCUAGAUCACAUCUUCUGCUCACACCACCACUGAGCAACCCUCUCCAGGACUGCCACCUAUGCAUAGGUCAUGCCCUGUGCAAGAGCACAUAAAGUGGGAGCUGAAGUCCUGCCCAGGCUCCAUUCACCAAGCAGAGCUUAUGUUGUUGUGUGUCUGUGUCUACCCAGAGGAUGUGGGUCCUUUUUAAAAUGUGCACCAAUGCAUCUUGUAUGAGCUGGCACCAGCUCGGACCAUCCCACCCUCAUACCCUGGUCCUAUCCAGGGUUAUAUUCCCUACUUUAGAAGAAUUAAUUAUUUUUAUGAACGUAUUUAGUUUAUUGUAAAAAAUGAAAUAUAUGACACAAAUUGAAAUUAAUUUCAGAGGUAAAGGUCAGAAUAUUACCAUGUAUGUGAAUUAUGUUUGUAUGUAUAUGUAUAUAUCAAGAGAGUUAUAUGAAUAUACAUUUUUGUGUAUCAGAAGUGAGGACAAUUUAACUUUGUUAAGUGUUUGAAAUAAAAUUAUUUUGAGUUUU
rnacentral:lncRNA from 1 species